rnacentral:rRNA from 1 species
CGGAGGGUGCGAGCGUUGUCCGGAAUCACUGGGCGUAAAGGGCGCGUAGGCGGCGCGGGCAGUCAACGGUGAAAGCUUGGGGCUCAACCCCGAGUCGGCCGUCGAUACUCCCGUGCUGGAGCACUGUAGAGGCAGGUGGAAUUCCGGGUGUAGCGGUGGAAUGCGUAGAGAUCCGGAAGAACACCGGUGGCGAAGGCGGCCUGCUGGGCAGUAGCUGACGCUGAGGCGCGACAGCGUGGGGAGCAAACAGGAUUAGAUACCCUGGUAGCCCACGCCGUAAACGAUGGGCACUAGGUGCUUGGGGGAGCGACCCUCUGAGUGCCGGCGCUAACGCAUUAAGUGCCCCGCCUGGGGAGUACGGCCGCAAGGCUG